AGAACGAACGCUGGCGGCGUGCUUAACACAUGCAAGUCGUACGAGAAACCGGAACUUCGGUUCCGGGAGUAAAGUGGCGCACGGGUGAGUAACGCGUAGGUAAUCUACCCUUGGGUUUGGAAUAACCCGCCGAAAGGCGGACUAAUACCGGAUAAAAUCUUUCGGAGGGAUCUGAAAGAUCAAAGGUGGCCUCUCCAUGGAUGCUACUGCCUAAGGAUGAGCCUGCGUCCCAUUAGCUUGUUGGUAGGGUAAUGGCCUACCAAGGCUACGAUGGGUAGCUGGUCUGAGAGGAUGACCAGCCACACUGGAACUGGAACACGGUCCAGACUCCUACGGGAGGCAGCAGUGAGGAAUAUUGCGCAAUGGGGGAAACCCUGACGCAGCGACGCCGCGUGGGUGAAGAAGGCCUUCGGGUCGUAAAGCCCUGUCUAGAGGGAAGAAAUUCUCAAUGGAAUAAUACCCAUUGAGAUUGACGGUACCUCUGGAGGAAGCACCGGCUAACUCCGUGCCAGCAGCCGCGGUAAUACGGAGGGUGCGAGCGUUGUUCGGAAUUACUGGGCGUAAAGCGGGUGUAGGCGGUUUGUUAAGUCAGAUGUGAAAGCCCACGGCUCAACCGUGGAAGUGCAUCUGAAACUGGCAGACUUGAGUACCGGAGAGGGAAGUGGAAUUCCUGGUGUAGGGGUGAAAUCCGUAGAUAUCA
rnacentral:rRNA from 1 species